rnacentral:lncRNA from 1 species
AAGCGCUGGCCUCACGUUUAACCAGCCACUCUCACUACAGCUAGCCAGAGUCUUGGGAGAACCUCAUUUAUUUCUUUUGGAGAAGACAUCUCCAAAUGCCUUUGCUGACUCUGACUUUGAGCAAUCUACCUUCUGUGUCGGGGACCAAGCUGAGCACUUGUGGAAGUUCAGUCAUCUACAUGCACACCAUUUCAACUUGGAUAUCAAUACUUCCCCAGAAAACCGUUGGUUUGGGCUGUGUGCCUCGUAAGGCGCUCUAGCCCUCUCUCAGGUAUCGCUCUCCUUGACCGUCACCAAGUAUUUCCUUGCCUGUAUCAUUAGGAUAGUGCCUAUUCUCUGAAGACAGGGGCUCUGUGAGUGUUUUCCCUGGUUUCUAGCCUAAGGUGGAUAUUCAACGGUUGCUCACUGGCUGAAUGAGCAAAUGAGGUACGGCUGAAUAGGCAUUCCCUAGACAAAAGAGCAUCGGACACACAACAGCAUGGCUUGAAUAAAAAUAUGGAGCAGAAAUGGGGGCUGCAGCUUUUUACCUAUGAGAAUAAAAAUGGGCUGUGGGGAGCUAACUCUAUCUGCUUGUAGUUAGUUAAUGCAAAAAAAAAAAAAAAAAAAAAAGCUCUGUGAGGACUGGGACAACAACGGCGUAUAGGAAGAGAAGUUAUCCUGUGGCUUCAUCCUUUCCUGGUCCUGGCUUGAAGUCCAGUUAAUAUUUCUCAUCCCAAGUACCAUUAUUCCUUUCAUGAUGGUCAGAAUUAAGAAGUGGCUUGGGUGACCUUGGCUCUCCAGUGUUACUCCAUAGUCACUUGUAACAGAGCUGAAGUUGCUUGCUGGUGAAUGAAUGGCUACUAGUCAGGUUAAUAAGGGCAUGAUCUAACGUGAUCACACCCAAGUACUCUAAAAUCAGACCUUCUUCUGACUGAUCAGUGGAGGAGCCAAAGAAAGUGAAAGCACUCGGGAAGCAUUGGGAAGGCAACCCUCUGUGCUUGAUGUUGAGCACGGAGGGGCUCGGGUGGAAAGACAUGGAGUGUCGCUUUGCGGGUGACAGGAAACAAGCAACAGAAGCUUCUAUCCGACCCACAAGGACAUGAACGCCUACGACAACUGUGGGAAUAUUGCUCGAAGUCUUAGCCCAGAACUCAGCCCAGUGACUCGAGGUUUCUGCUUUGUGAAAUGCCGAGAGGAGAACCCAGUCAGGUGUGUUUGUAGCAUGCCAGAUUCUUGACUGUACAGCUGUAAGCUAACUAAGGUGAAGCACAGAAGGGCC